rnacentral:lncRNA from 1 species
GAAAUAAUAACUCUCUUUCUUGGAUGGGGUUAACCGAACCAUUUUAGAAUCUCCAACUUUUAUCCAUAUUCUAUUUUAGAUUUUUUUACUUUUUCUUUUUCCAAUCAGAUUUCUUUUUUUUCUCUUUUUUUUUGUGUGUGUUUAUUGUACUCAAGUCUCGCCACUAAAAAUACUGCUAACUUUAAUAAAACUAUCUCUUCACUAUUUUUUGCUAAAUUAUUUGCCAAGUAAUCAACAAUCCUUAAUAUGUGGCCAUUUUUAUUAGAAUUAAUAGUAAUCUUAAAGGUAGAGCUUUUCUGACAAACAUAGUAAAUUAAGAAUUUAAUUGCAAGAUCAGGUCUAUCGAUUGAAUCCCCUCCAAGACUGUUACUAUAAGGAAUUUACUAAAUACGCAUUGCGUGAAUAAAUGACGAAGUGUCUCACAUCUGGGAUAAGUGGAUUUCAAGAUUUAGAAAUCAGUCCGCUCGUUCUAAGCUGACCAGACUAAUAGCCUGUUGGUGGGUUAUUUAGAAGAUCAGAAACAAUACGAUUUUUAGAAAGAUAAACGCUAAUCCUUUUCUAGCGAUCAAUAAGAUCAGUUAUUUGAAGAACUCGUGGGAGGAAUUCACAUCGGCAAACUAGCUACUUAGUGUUUUGUUUUAUUUUUUCGUUUCUCAUUUGUCUCAUUUGAGAUCUAUUACCUCACUAUUAUAGUUUAGUUCAUAUUUUUAAUGAAUAAAGCAGAUAAUCAUCUACAUUUUUCUUAAAAAAAAAACUAAUUGCAAGGAAUAAAAAAAAAA